CUAUAAAGAACAACAUAACCACUGUGCAGUGUUUACAUAUUUAUUUUAAAUGCAGUAAAGACUUUCCUCUAAACUGAAAAGAGCGGCAAUAGUCUUUUAUACUCUAGCACUGCAUCAUGAGGCAAUACUUCAACCACUGACUCAAGCUGAGGCUGGAUGUGCAGCAGUGAUCCUGUUUUUCAGACUAACAGCUAACUCCAAAGAGAUGAGAAGAUUGCUCUGUGAGGUGCAUUUUCUUCCCAGUGAAAGAGAUGAUUCCUGGACAAGGAAAAGCAAC